AUACGGAAGGUCCGGGCGUUAUCCGGAUUUAUUGGGUUUAAAGGGAGCGCAGGCGGAGAUGCAAGCGUGACGUCAAAUUUCGGGGCUCAACCCCGUCUCGCGUCGCGAACUGCGUCCCUUGGUUGCGGGAAGGGGAGGCGGAACUCGUGGUGUAGUGGUGAAAUGCAUAGAUAUCACGAAGAACUCCGAUCGCGAAGGCAGCCUUCCGGCCCGUCAACGACGCUCAUGCUCGAAGGUGCGGGUAUCAAACAGGAUUAGAUACCCUGGUAGUCCGCACAGUAAACGAUGGACACCCGCGGUUUGGCCUGUAUGGCUGAGCCGCCAAGCGAAAGCGUUAAGUGUCCCACCUGGGGAGUACGCCGGCAACGGUGAAACUCAAAUGAAUUGGCGGGG
rnacentral:rRNA from 1 species